GUCUUCUUGUAGUGCAAUGGAUUGCGCGUUGGACUGAUUAUCCAAAGGUCGUGGAUUCGAAUCCCAUCUAGGAUA
rnacentral:tRNA from 1 species